rnacentral:tRNA from 1 species
CGGGGUGUAGCGCAGUUGGUUAGCGCGCAGCGUUCGGGACGCUGAGGUCGGAGGUUCGAGUCCUCUCACCCCGACCA